AGCUUUGCGCAGAGGCGAUAUCGUUACUAAUGAGGUUUGAGCCGAAGUGCGAUUAUUGCUAGUUGAAAAUUGUUUGAAGUCAACACUGUAGGUCUACAUGGGACCUCUGCAUUCAAAUUUGCGGUCUCUUGAAGCUACCGAG